UACGUAGGGUGCGAGCGUUGUCCGGAAUUAUUGGGCGUAAAGGGCUCGUAGGCGGUUUGUCGCGUCGGGAGUGAAAACGCCGGGCUUAACUCGGUGCUUGCUUUCGAUACGGGCAGACUAGAGGCAUGCAGGGGAGAACGGAAUUCCUGGUGUAGCGGUGAAAUGCGCAGAUAUCAGGAGGAACACCCGUGGCGAAGGCGGCUCUCUGGGACGGUACUGACGCUGAGACGCGAAAGCGUGGGGAGCGAACAGG
rnacentral:rRNA from 1 species